rnacentral:rRNA from 1 species
GACGAACGCUGGCGGUGUGCUUAACACAUGCAAGUCGAACGGUAAGGCCCUUUCGGGGGUACACGAGUGGCGAACGGGUGAGUAACACGUGAGUAACCUGCCCUCAUCUCUGGGAUAACAGUCGGAAACGGUUGCUAAUACUGGAUAUGAGCUUGCAAGGCAUCUUGUGGGUUGGAAAGAUUUUUUUUGGUUGGGGAUGGACUCGCGGCCUAUCAGCUUGUUGGUGAGGUAGUGGCUCACCAAGGCUUCGACGGGUAGCCGGCCUGAGAGGGCGACCGGCCACAUUGGGAUGGGGAUACGGCCCAAACUCCUACGGGAGGCAGCAGUGGGGAAUAUUGCACAAUGGACGGAAGUCUGAUGCAGCAACGCCGCGUGCGGGAUGACGGCCUUCGGGUUGUAAACCGCUUUCAAUUGUGACGAAGCUUUUUUGUGACGGUAGCAGUAGAAGAAGCACCGGCUAACUACGUG